rnacentral:rRNA from 1 species
GACGAACGCUGGCGGCGUGCUUAACACAUGCAAGUCGAACGGUGAAGGGACCAGCUUGCUGGUUCUGGAUGAGUGGCGAACGGGUGAGUAACACGUGAGUAACCUGCCCCCUUCUUCUGGAUAACCGCAUGAAAGUGUGGCUAAUACGGGAUAUUCUUGUUCUGUCCCAUGUCCGGCCCGGGAAAGAUAUUGCUCCGGCGGGUGAUGGUCUCGCGGCCUAUCAGUUGGUUGGUGGGGUGAUGGCCGACCAAGGCGGCGACGGUUAACCGGCCUGGGAGGGUGGACGGUCACAAUGGGAAUGCGACACGGCCCCGAAUCCGACGGGACGCAGCAGUGUGGAAUAUUGCGCAAGGGGGGCAAGCCUGACGCAGCGGCGCCGCGUGAGGGAUGGAGGCCUUCGGGUUGUAAACCUCUUUGGCAAGUGAAGAAGGCCUGGUCCUUGUGCGUGGGUUGACGGUAGCUGGAUAAGAAGCGACGGCUAACUACGUG